CUGAGCUGUUUCUACAUUUUGGCAAUUAUGAAUAAAGCUGCUAUAAACAUUAGUGUGCAGGUUUUUAUGUACACAUAAGUUUUCAGUUCAUUUGGAUGAAUAACAAUG